AGUGAACGCUGGCGGUAGGCCUAACACAUGCAAGUCGAACGGCAGCACAGUAAGCGCUUGCUCUUAAGGGUGGCGAGUGGCGGACGGGUGAGGAAUACAUCGGCAUCUACUUUUUCGUGGGUGAUAACGUAGGGAAACUUACGCUAAUACCGCAUACGACCUACGGGUGAAAGCAGGGGAUCUUCGGACCUUGCGCGAUUGAAUGAGCCGAUGUCGGAUUAGCUAGUUGGCGGGGUAAAGGCCCACCAAGGCGACGAUCCGUAGCUGGUCUGAGAGGAUGAUCAGCCACACUGGAACUGAGACACGGUCCAGACUCCUACGGGAGGCAGCAGUGGGGAAUAUUGGACAAUGGGCGAAAGCCUGAUCCAGCCAUACCGCGUGGGUGAAGAAGGCCUUCGGGUUGUAAAGCCCUUUUGUUGGGAAAGAAAAGCAGCAGGUUAAUACCCCGCUGUUCUGACGGUACCCAAAGAAUAAGCACCGGCUAACUUCGUG
rnacentral:rRNA from 1 species